CUCUUUUCUUGCUAGGCCACUUCUGGCAGUGGCCAGGUUCCUGUGCUGAAGGCUACAAGUACUGUUAGGCAACUCUCUCCUAUAACCACAUCUACAGAUUUCACUUCUGCUGGUCUACGUUCCGGUUGUCUUUUAAAACUAAAUCUGUGAAGUGUGGCAUGAUACAACUGCAAUCCCCACUCUUCCAAUGCUCAUUCUGAAGGAAAAAAGGAAUGCAGAAAACAGCAACAACAACAACAACCAUAACAAUGAAACGAAGCAAAAGAUGACUUACUGACUUCCCAGGAGCUCCCUACAUGCAGGCACCAAGGCAAAGUCACUUUCUCAAGAUUUGCAGCAUUGAAAACAUUAACUCACUGAACACAGUGAAACUGAAAACUUCAACAAAGUCUGCAACAGGAAAAAUGCAGUCUCUGCCCAAGUCCUGUAAUUCUAAAGCUUCCUAAUAUCAUUGAAAUGGUCUUUUAUCUUUGCAUCAAAUACAAACAUUUUGUAAAAUAUAAAAGAAAACUCCCUUUUUUUGACCAUGAUAGAUUUUUUACUACCUGAUUUGGAGCAAACAUAAGCUAGAGGUUGGUGUUUGGUGAACGUCACACAGCACAGGCAACUUGGAAAGUGCAUCCAAAUAAUAUCAAACUGUUGUAAACAGUUGCCUUAGGGAGUUGCAACCUACAUGAAUAUUAAAAAAUUAAGUUUAUUAAAAUCUAAGUGA